UACGUAGGCGGCAAGCGUUAUCCGGAUUUACUGGGCGUAAAGAGGGCGCAGGCGGCUUGGCAAGUCGGAUGUUAAAUCUCCCGGCUCAACUGGGAGCGAUCAUUCGAUACUGUUAGGCUAGAGGGCAGCAGAGGGUGAUGGAAUUCCCGGUGUAGUGGUGAAAUGCGUAGAUAUCGGGAGGAACACCAGUGGCGAAGGCGGUCACCUGGGCUGUUACUGACGCUUAAGCCCGAAGGCGUGGGGAG
rnacentral:rRNA from 1 species